rnacentral:tRNA from 1 species
UUGCGGUUGGAUCACCUCCUUUCAAGGAUGUUCUCCGAUACGUUGGAGAGCUCCGAAAUAAAAGUCCUUGGUUGUAUCAGCCAAGGCGCCAGACGAUCCUGGAACCUGGAGUUCAAGGCGCCGUCAACAUAUCCCUUCCUAUAUUUUCCCGGGCUAGUAGCUCAGUUGGUUAGAGCACACGCUUGAUAAGCGUGGGGUCGGAGGUUCAAGUCCUCCCUGGCCCACCAGAGUUUGGGGGCAUAGCUCAGCUGGGAGAGCACCUGCUUUGCAAGCAGGGGGUCGUCGGUUCGAACCCGUCUGCCUCCACCACGUCUGGUCGAGAUUUCGGUCUCCUGGGCAUGGUGAAGAGCUCAAAAUCUGGUCACUGGGAAAAUCAUAGGAAAUGGGAAGUCUGUUUCCUGAUCCUGUCACCGCAUAGUCGGAUGAAGCGUCAGGGAUGUUGGGUCUUUUAGAGUGUGAAUAGGUUGGUGCACUGUCUGCGUGUGCCGUUCUCGGGUUGGUCUGACCCGUCUGCUGUUUGGCUUAGGCCAAAGAGCGGCGUUAAGAGAACGGAUGAAGCAUUCAGACGGUGACGAAAAGAGUGUGACUGACACUGUCGUGGACAGAAGUCGGUCCAUACCUCUCGGGGUGUGGCUGGUUUCUGUGCAUGUGUUUCAUCAGCAAUGAUGAUUUGAUGGUGUGAGAAUGAGAAGGGCGUUCGGUGGAUGCCUUGGCACA